rnacentral:rRNA from 1 species
UACGAAGGGGGCUAGCGUUGCUCGGAAUCACUGGGCGUAAAGCGCACGUAGGCGGAUCUUUAAGUCAGGGGUGAAAUCCCAAGGCUCAACCUUGGAACUGCCUUUGAUACUGGGGAUCUCGAGUCCGGAAGAGGUGAGUGGAACUGCGAGUGUAGAGGUGAAAAUUCGUAGAUAUUCGCAAGAACACCAGUGGCGAAGGGCGGCUCACUGGCCCGGUACUGACGCUGAGGUGCGAAAGCGUGGGGAGCAAACAGGG